rnacentral:lncRNA from 1 species
AAUGGAAGGAAGAGGAAGAGGUGAAGAUGGUGAUGGCGAUCUCCUUCAAGUUCCCCCCUUCUUCUUCUUCUUCUUUUCCUUCUUUUUCUUCUCCUUCUUCUUCUCCUUCUUCUUCUUCUCCUUCUUCUGCUUCUCCUUCUUCUUUUCUAGAGAGAGGGAAAGAGAGAGAGAGAGAUGAGAGAGUUGGGAGGGAAAUGAGAGAAGGAGAGAGGGUUAUUUGCCCUCUAUACCCCUUACUAAUGGCAUAAUUGCAGCCAAGCCCCUCCGCUUUGCCUUUCUUAAACUGCUCUGCUUGGGCAGUUUUCGCGCACGGGGACCGGUGGUAAGGUACCGAACUUCUAAAAUUAUGAAGUUGCGGGGUAUGUUGGUUUGGAAAGCCAUUAGAAUGAUUCUGGUGAGGUCCGAAAGUAUUCGGGCGUUUUUGGAGCGCGUAGCAGCGAAAAUGGGACCCGAAGGCUAUGUUGGACCAUGGACUAAAUCCGGCAUAAGCGCGGAUGAAAAGAUGAUGAAAAUACGCUCGAAAUCAUGUUUGAAGAGUCUCGGUUCGAUUUGAAAAGAAUUGGAGGUCAAAAGAGCGAAAACGAGCGAAAACGGAUUCCGAAAACGAAAAAAGCUGAAAUUUGGCUAAGUCCUAAAAAUGCUGGAAUUCUGGACC